UUCAUGUUUUUCCUUCAGAAUGAAAAUAAUGAUAAUAGCUUGAAUAGUUUUUGAGUAAGCUUACGAACAUUUACGGUUAAUUUAUGAACACGCGCUUCAUUCGCUCCAUGGCAACAAACACAUGGCUCUUUUCAAUGAUCAUUGUCUUUUUGUUUUGUGCCUUUUUAUUUGAUCAUUGUGUUUAAUCUUUCAUCGAUUUUGGGAUAAACAAUUAUUUUCAAGUGGUUGCGUUAAUCCAGGCAUCAUUUAAUCUACUAUCUCCGGUUUUUUUGGUCCAUUUAAACAGAUUACUCCUGACCACACUCUACUUUUUAUGUACAUUUCGUAUUAUAUGAUGGAUUGUGCUUUACAUUGAAGUACAUUGACAUUGUCUGAUUAUUUUGAAUUGAUCAUUCAAUCAUUACAAUUAAAAUUCUUAUAGGAUUUUCUAUGAGAUUUCACUUAGUCAAGGAUUGAUGAGUUGGUGUAUUUCCGAUGAUAAAGCUGAAGAAUCUUUUGUUUUUGUGUGUUUCUAAAGCUUGUAUUCAUCUUCUCGGUCUAACUGUUAGUGUUAAUAGGAUAUUAGCUGUUAUUGAUUAGUCCGGAUUUUCCAGCCAAACCCCUCAGACAUUAAUAACACGAGGACUGCCAUGAGUUAAACGGCAUACAGCUUGAAGGCUCAUUUUAAUUGAUGAGAAUUAAAUUAGCUAAUGGUCACCGUUUUUCAAGUUUUUCAAAUCCAAUUUACCAAUCUAAAGCCAACCAUAAUCUCCCGUUUGAUUCCCGUUCUUACUAGUCUCACUGGUUUCUGGUUAAAGAUGAUUACAAAUUAGAAAGUGGACUUAUAAUUAACUGUUUACCUGUUGUCUGAAGUUGAAAAAUUGUGCAUCACCAUCAGCUUUAUCAGAUUUAGACUGUUUUUACCUUGCAAUCUUUAUAUGGACACUUGUAAGAUGGGAUUUAUCACAAGAAAUGGACAGAUAGUGAUAACAUUGACGAAUGGUUCCUUUCGUGAUUGCAAUAACUGGCGCUCCAAAUUUCAUUAGAUUACCCCACACAGCUAGUCCAGAAUCUGUACUUUUACCUUUUAAGGUUGUUCAUAAUUAUGCCGAUGAUGAGACCAUUAAUUUUGGUCAUCUAAAAAUACUUGAAGUAUUAACGAGCAUUGAGCUUUAUCCAUACCAGCAAUAACCUGACAAGUUUGAUGUUGUUUUUUUUCUCGCUCUCUCUCUUGGCUUCUAAAAAAUAGUGAAACUGCCCAAGUUUACAGUUUGAAAGCCAUGUGAUCGCCAAUCUGAAUAACUAAUACAUCCCUUGUGUUCAUUCAUUUCACAUGAGUAAAUUAGUCUCCUUGCCCAUGUCCUUAGUUGAUUGGUUAGUUUGUGAAUUGUUUUCAUGAUCACAUGUUGAAUAGCUGUUCUCUUCUAUUUAAUUCCCAAGUUACUUAUUUUCAAUGGCAAAACAAAACCCAAACCAUGGACUGACAGAAUGGCGUCAGCUAUCAUUAUCAUAUCUUUUAUGUUAUUUGCGUUGAAUUUUUCUCAAUGAUAUCAACUACUGUUGCUUCAUUCACUCGGGGACCAUGAUUAAGUUUAAUGGUGAUGAUAGCCAAGGAUUUAAAUGGUUUCGGAAUGGUUACAGGAAUACAGGUCAUGGUGAUAAUCAGUAUGCCAAUGUUGAAGUACUCCUUUUAAAAUUCAAAGAAUAUCUAGUAAUCGAAAAUACCUUCUACUUUAUCCAUGGAUUUACUCUUCUUCUCUCCUUUUUUCCCCUGGUUUCACCACUCAAGAACGUUAUGCAAAAAGCUAAACAACUAUCACUACAUCCAGGCGUUAUCUGUCUAUAUUAAUCUUUACUAUUGGAAGGAGAAAGAAGCAGAUGAAGUGAAAGAAAUAAAAUGUCAUUAUCGCAGAUAAAAAAGGCUAAACUUGUGAGUGAGUUGAAUGCUCUCAUCAAGAGUCGAAGCUGGAAAGAAGGAGGUUACGAGGAGAUGAUGAGCUGAUAAUUUUAAAACCAUCAGAAGCUGAAAGAUUUGUUGAAUCUUUUUUGAAUGUUAAAAGUACAACCCGAUAAACUACAUUGAAUAUACGACGAUAAAAAGCGAAGGUAGACUGGGUUAAAAGCUAUGGAAAAGGCUACCAAAUCUGAUGUUGAUGAUACCAAGAGAGCAAAUGGAAGAGGCUAUGGAAGAUUGUUGCUGAUUAGGAAAAAAAGUAAACUUGCUUGACAAGAGUAGUUGGUUGAUUAAAAAUUAUUUCAACUUGAAAUCUUGUGAUUCAGCCAAAAUACUUUCCAUCAUCCAUUCCUCUGUACAAAAAACACUUGCUCCUACAUAUUCAUGGAUCUUCAUUCAUAAUACAUGCUUUGGAUGGUUUCGUUGAACAAUAUAAUCAUCAACUUAACCUUUCUUUUUGGCCUAAAAUCAAUUUUUACAUUUCGAUAAUUAGGAACAAGUUUCUUCUUUCAAGUUCAACUUGUUCACCUGAUUUAUCCUGACAUUGACGGUUAUCAACAGAGGCUAUCAAAGAUUAUUGUGAUUGAAAAAUCAAAGUAAUCUCCCAAUAAUCUAAAAUAUAUAUUCCCAUGGAAUAAUUCAUACAAAAACUGGUGACAACUUUACCCCUUUUUUUACAAGUCAAGUUUAUCUCGUUGAUAUAACCUGGUCAUCAUCACCGAAACGCCAUUGAUUAUCGUGUUUAUUUCAAUGUUACCUUAAUAUGAAGAGUUAUGAAUCUUUGGAACUGGAAUAUAGUCUUGAUUAAUGUGCCUUUGGAUUCAAAAGCUAUGAAAGAUAAAACCGAAUGAACUUCAAAGAUUAAAUUGCAAAUAAAGAGGGAAAAUUUUUAAAAGGCGAAAAAAAACAUGAGCUUCAAGUUUGUUGUUGGGAAAUGAACAUAUAAAGCUAACGAUUUCGCUUUUUAAUUGCUUAAAUCAGAUUUCUUGUCAACUUAUCAAGAUUAUCAAUUUAUAAAAUCAUUUAUAAAAACCCACCAAAAAAAAAACAAUUCAAACCAUCGAGAAAAAAGAAGGGUUGAGAGCAACUGAUUAGAUUUCUCUACCUUUAAUCAUGCUCUUUCAUCUGUUUCAUCUCAAUUAUUUCAUCAAGAUUAAGCUGAAUAUAUCUGUGUCAGUGUGUGUUUGUAUGUACAUAAAUGUUUACUUCUCAACCUUUUGAUUAUUUGCUUCUUCAGAUAAAGUUGAUUAAUUUAUUGUGUUCAUUUAUCUUUUCAUUCAGAGGGACAAUUGAUGAUGAUUCCAAUGUGAAAAUUGUGCAAAAAUAUCUUAACCAUGAAAAUAAAUCAGCAUGUUAUCACAGUUGUGCGGAUUCUGAUUAAUUUGAUUUCGGGAUAAAGGUUAAUCAAUUUAAGAGAUUAACUAUCCAAAUCAUCCGAUGAAACCAAUUAAAGGGCAUUAAAUUGAGUGUAAAAGCAGCUAAACUGGUUAAAGAUGAGAUUGGAAGAGAAAGUUAUAAAUGAAUUGUUAAUUUACAUAAUUAUUUAAUUUGUUGUUAUAAACAUAUAACCAUCUUGUUUUACACUAAAUUCAUUUAAUUCUGUAA